rnacentral:snoRNA from 1 species
UUGCAUGAUGACAAAAGGCCUUACCGGCCUGAAUCUUAACCCAGCUCGUCGAUUGCCUUGAGUAACGCCGAGGCAUUUAUGAGAAUAAAAACCCGCUCUGAUCG